GAAGAAACGAGGACCGAGUGGUGGAAACAUAUAAUUGAGCACCAACAGGAUAACAAUGAAAGUUUAUGUUAAAUUUUGUAAAGAUGUACCCUAGAGGGAUCAAGUAGAUUACAUUACCAGCUCAGUGGCCUUGUGCUAGAGUGUCUGCCCUGGGACUGGGAGAACAGUGUUCAAAUCCCGGUUGGGUCAUACCAAAGACUUUAAAAUUGAAAUGAUUAAUUAUUUCCAAGAUAGAUGGGAGUUCAAACAUAGAACUGAGUUUAAAAUCUCAAGAAGGUUAUCGAUGGAGAAGGAAACCUGGUCAGGUGGGGAGAGAAAUUGUAGCAUAUCUGCAAAAUCAUUAAUACAGAAAAGAAAAUUGUCCACAUUGAGGUUUUUAAGAUUCCAAAAGAUGAUGGAGCAAACAGGCUUUGAGGGUGAGAGACAACUUGAAUGUAAGAAGAAAAUUAUCUGAAGAAGAAAAUUUGUCGGCGGUAGUCAGUAGGAGUGCGUCCAGAACAGUAAAUCAAAUUCAGUAUAUGGCCUUUGAUAUGUGUUGGAAAAUCCACUUAUUACUGAAAAACAAAAUUAUCCAAGAAUGAAACAAAGGUACUGGUAGUCAGAAUUUACUGUAAUCCAGGCGUGUAUUAAAAUCUACUAGCAUAAUGAUAUUCGGAGAUAAGAAAGUCAAAUGCAUUGGCGGUUCUAGGGGCGGGGCCACAGGGGCACUGGCCCCUGCUGAAAUAUGAUUGGCCCCUGUAGUGCCCCUGUCCUGUCACUCAUCUGUCCUUUGUGCGGUGAUGAGAUUAUAGGUGGAUGCAAUUCCGAGUCCAAACACUAGUGGCCGUGUGGCGCUAAGGAGCAAAAUAGUGUGUGAAAUCCAACAGAAGAAGAUUUGAAAGAUUCCAAGAAGGGAGAACUUUUCAACCGACAUCGGAUCUGAUGAGAGUCCACGUUAUGAGGAGUUUGUUGCUGCAAACUGGGACAAGACUCUCUCCAAUUCAGACAACCAGAGUGAAGUUAAUGACUCAACCUUCCAUCCUGCUGGGCCACCAGAGUCACCAAUCAAUACUAAUCCUGCAGGAUCAAAUGACAUCUUCCAGUGUGAUGCACAGAAUCCUGCGCAGACAUCAGAACAGUGUUCUGUUCCAGUAGGACCUGGUGGUGUGCUUCUCAUUUUGUAAAGGCUCUUUAAAUUUAAUUGAAUUUUGCAGUCAAUCACUUGCAGAUUCUGAAUGCCAUGAAUGUUAAAGGUUGAGAGAUAUAAGCAACUGACUCAGACUUAUUUAAUUGACUUCCCACCAGACAUUUCCCAGUCAAGAGCAGAGGGUCCUGUGAUAUUCUUCUGGUGUUUUUUCCACACAAACAUAUUUUAACCUGAUAUUUGUGGCUUUGCAAAAUAAAUUGAAUGCUAAAAUUUCUCAAAUGCUGUGUGUGGUUGUAUUUUGUCAAUGUACAGUAAAAAUUGAUGUACAAUUGCAUUGAUGUUUUUCAACAUGGUGUUGGGGUAAACUGUAUCUACCAUACAAAACUGGGAAUAGUAUGCAAGUAUGUUGGACUGUUCGUGGCCCCUCUAUAAAUAUUGUGGCCCCUUGAUGGCCCCACCCUCAGAAAAAUCCUAGAUCCGCCACUGGUCAAAUGUCCAAGAAAAGCUAAAAAAUGAUUCAGAAAAUCUUUGGUUUAGGACAAUAAACAGAUGUAAAAAUUGUAGGAAUUAAACCAGAUAUUUGACAGACAAUUGAUUCAAACGAACCAUAUUGAGAAACAGUCUGUGGGACAACUUUCAAGGUAGAGUAUCGUGAGACCUCCUCAGCAGCCUGAGCUAUGAGGUUGAGCCUUGUAAACAAACCUUGGUGGCACUGCUUCAUGAAGCUGCGUGAAGUCCUGCGGUUGUUUGCCAUGUCUCAUUCAGAGAUAUAAUGUCAAGCUUAUGAUCUGUGACAAGAUCUUGAAAGAAAUUACUCUUACCCGAUUAACCGGUGCGCUAGCCACCUUAGCUAAGCUGGCUAAUAUGCUUCAGUUGCCAAUUCUCUCAGGUUGUCGCAGUGGUGGGUCGAGAAGGGGACCAAUAGGAGGGUACUGAUGCUCGGAAAUCUUGUCAAAAGCCUAGCUGGGAUCCUUGAUGAUCGCAGCAGAUUCACCAUUGAGUAAUAAUGUAAGCCAGUAGUGGGUUGGAUCAUCAAGGUCAGAAAACAUGAGGCAAGUGUAUCGUAAAAAAUCAUCAGACACAUUGUAUCAAAACGGUCUAUACAAAGUAUACAAAGUAAUUCAGGUGGAGUUGACACACAGUUAAAUCUGCUUUUGGUCAACAGCUCAAACAACUGCUAUUGUCGUUUCCAUGAGCCUUCAAGCAGCUCUGACACCUCCUACAGUCCCAACAAUAGAGACACUAUGGUCAUUCAUCCCCCCACUCCAGAGCCAUCACCAUCACUGUGGACUUCAUCCACAGCACCCUUCUCCUAAUUCCACAUUCAUGAGGACCCCACAUCACACAGCUCCACCAUGAGGCAUAUGUUAGGAAGCAAUUCAAGACUCUAAAUGCACAGAAAGCUCCUGACUCUGACUGUGUAUCUCCUGCCACUCUAAAGUACUGUGCAGAUGAGCUGGUCCCAGUGUUUACGGGCAAUUUCAACUCCUCACUGGAGGAAUUUCAUGUGCCUGCCUGCUUCUAGAAGUCCACAAUAGUCCCCAUCCCCAAGAAGCCAAAGAUCACUUGGUUCAAUCACUACAGACCUUUGGCCCUGAAAUCUGUGGUCAUGAAGCCAUUUGAGUUCCUGGUUCUCCCCCACCUCAAGACCCUCACAGCCCCCCUCCUGGACUCUCUCUAUUUUGUGUACAGAGAGAACAGGUCUGUAGAUUAUACCAUUAACCUGGGACUACACUAGGGUUGGGGUAGAUCCGAUCCAGUAUCGGAAUCAGGCUCCGAUACGGUCUUAAAUCACAGAUCGGAAAAUUCCGAUCCAACCUGCACAAAUUUCCGAUCCAGAAUUAUGUCUUGUGUAAUGUCUAUAUAAGACAUCCUGGGCUGGGAGGCACUGUCUAUGCCCCGAAGGCACAGAGAGAUGACAAAAUUCUACAGGAACAUGAUCCUGCACAAGGUACCUAGGCAGCAGUUAUCCAGAUGCAAAUGUACUUGAAAGAACCAACAAUGGGUGAGCUAGACAGCCCUUUCCAGUACUGGGCAGACAACC